GACGAACGCUGGCGGCGUGCUUAACACAUGCAAGUCGAACGGAAAGGCCCUGCUUUUGUGGGGUGCUCGAGUGGCGAACGGGUGAGUAACACGUGAGUAACCUGCCCUUGACUUUGGGAUAACUUCAGGAAACUGGGGCUAAUACCGGAUAGGAGCUCCUGCUGCAUGGUGGGGGUUGGAAAGUUUCGGCGGUUGGGGAUGGACUCGCGGCUUAUCAGCUUGUUGGUGGGGUAGUGGCUUACCAAGGCUUUGACGGGUAGCCGGCCUGAGAGGGUGACCGGCCACAUUGGGAAUGAGAUACGGCCCAGACUCCUACGGGAGGCAGCAGUGGGGAAUAUUGCACAAUGGGCGGAAGCCUGAUGCAGCAACGCCGCGUGCGGGAUGACGGCCUUCGGGUUGUAAACCGCUUUCGCCUGUGGCGAAGCGUGAGUGACGGUAAUGGGUAAAGAAGCACCGGCUAACUACGUG
rnacentral:rRNA from 1 species